GUUCAUCGUCCCUUUCCCUCUAAUCGUACAUGUUGGAUCCUGAUCAUCUUCAAAGCACUAAAAUGACUAACACCACUCCUUGAUUACUUUUUGUAGGUGUCAUUACCAGAAAGGAGCUCGGUACCGUGAUGCGUUCUCUCGGUCAAAACCUGACCCAAGCUGAGCUUCAGGACGCGAUGAACGAAGUGGAUAUAGAUGGUGACGGAACCAUCGAUUUCCCUGAGUUUGUGUGUGUAAUGGCUGGGAAUCUAAGUCAUGAUCAAGUGCCGCCGCGUCAAACUAAAAAAACAAUGGUGGAUUAUCAGCUCACUGACGAUCAGAUCUCAGAAUUCAAGGAAGCCUUCCGCGUAUUCGACAAGAAUGGUGAUGGUAUGUGUUCAUCGUCCCUUUCCCUGGCUCUAAUCAUACAUAUUUUGAUUCUGAUCAUCUUCAAAGCACUGAAAUGACUAACACAAGUCCUUGAUUACUUUUUGUAGGUUACAUUACCGUAAAUGAGCUCCGUAUUACUAUGAGCUCCCUCGGUGAAAACCAAACAAAAGCUGAGCUUCAGGACAUGAUCAACGAAGCUGAUGCAGAUGGUGAUGGAACCAUCAGUUUCCCUGAGUUUGUGUGUGUAAUGGCUGGGAAAAUGACUGACUCUGAGGAAGAAGCGUACAGAGUUGUGAAUCAAGGUCAGGGUCAAGUGCCGCGUCACACUAAAAAUGACAGAACUGGUGGCGCUAAUUGGGAGAGGGACAUAGCGGUCGGGGUUGCCAGCAAUAUCAUCGCUUCGCCAAUUACCGACUUCAUCAAAGAUUUGUUUAAAGAGUUGUUUUUUUGAAUUAAUGGCACGUUAGGUAAGUAACUUUAUGCCAUUAGGGUCUGGCAAGUCUGUUACAUCUCCCUCAAAAUUAUUGAAAGAAUAAGAAAAAGUGUUUAAUCUGUGAAAAUAAUUUCUCAGUAUGUAAUAAAUUUACUGUGUUAGUGUGUUACCAUCUUCAAUUGUACGCAAUAUAUUAAAUAAUUUACAACCAAACUUUGUAAUAUGGUUUCAGUAUCGACUAUAAUUGGGGUAUCAAUAUAAUGUAUUUUUGAGGAAAAUAUUGAACAACCAAUUAUUGAAAACUAGUAGACAGAUCGGUUAAUGAUUUGGCACAUACAGUGAGCAAAUCAGCUAAGCCUCAUAUCUCACCGUCCCAGAGUUCUUCAAGACUCUUAUAAGGACUCAUCUCAUGAACAAAUGACAUGCAUCGCGGCUCGCGCCAACCUACCCUGCAACAUUGAAACACACAUCUUCAAUAUUCGAUAACCCAAGUGUUUGAUCAAAACAAAGAACGUUUUGCUUUGUGAUUUGUUAAUUAAGUUGGUUAAGACGUCAUUGGGUAUGGACCAAUUGAAAACAUCGAAAUUCUGCUUGAUCCUAUCUUGAUGGGUGCUUUUGGACGAACACUUUGACCCAUUUGGAGACACCCGCAAAGUGAAACUUGUGCAGUAUUCUUGCCGAGCUUCUCAGCAACAUCGCCAGGAAUAGUGUUCUUCAGAACAUGGCUUUUUUGAGCCACGUUGUCCCAGGAGAACCCAACGUACCUGUGCAUGUGCAUCCCUCAAAUCAGUUCCUGGUACACUUACCUUCAGCAAGUAAAAUGCAUUUUUUUCGUUUAAUAAUAGGUCAAUGAACCAAACCAUGCUAAUCAAUUGUCAUAAGCAUGUAUUCUUCCUUGAAUCAUUUGAUCCUAUGCAAGUUUUUACUUUGUGAUUUGUUAAGUUAUUGCAGAAAACAAGGACGUUCGAGGCACUUCCCAAAACAUAUGAAUGUUAUAAACUAUGUAGUAUUGAAAAGUAAGCAAUUGAGAGCAAAAUCUUUAAUAAUUUAGACAAAUGUAGGGGCAGCUCCACUUGCCCAUCCAAAUGAAUACUUCACAAUUGAUAAAGAAAAAAAAAAAAAAAUUGCACAAUUGAUAAUUCUAUUCCAUUAUUGUAAAUAAAUGUUUCUUUCAAAUUUAAAUGGAAAUACUAAAAAAAAAGACAGCAUUUAGUAAUAACGAAUUGGAAGUUUGGAACAAUCAACCAACUAACCAAAGGGAAAUCACUGGAAAGGAAAAGCUGAGAUGGCAAGUCAACGAUCCGCGUAGAAACCGCGUGAACGUGUGAUCCAUCUCUUCUCUUGUCAACCUGGCGCUUAAAUUUAAAACUCAAAUUAAUGGCAUUCUCGUAAUACCAUCCCCAAACCAAGGUCCUUCUCGACAUUUCAAUGUAAUUCCGGUAAAUAAAACGCCUCAAGUCCGCGUUCGUAGCACAAAUUGUCUCCCAGACUCUUCGUUUUUCCCUUUUUUCUCCAAUCACCGAAAAAAAAAACAAAAAGCAAUGGCGGAUCAGCUCACUGACGAUCAGAUCUCAGAAUUCAAGGAAGCCUUCAGCUUAUUCGACAAGGAUGGUGAUGGUAUGCUUCAGCAUCCCUCUCCCUCUAAUCGUAGAUCUUCGCCGGAUAAUUCUGAUUUAGUUUCUGCUUUGAUUUGGUUUCCUUUUGAUCUGUAUCGAUUACUGUGGUGACGGAUCCAUUUUUCGUAUCCUCGCAUUGAUUCUUUUCGUUUUUCGGUAUUCAAAUCAAAAUUGAAUUUAAGGAUUUGAUUUUGCCUUUGUUCUAAUUUAAGAUCUAUGUAAAUCGUCGUUAUUUAUUAUCAGCGAUGAAAUAUUUGUUAGGUUUGAGAGUCUGAAUCAGCCCUAUGGUAUUUGACCAGUUUUGAUUGAAUUGUUCUAAUUCUAGAUUUGCAUAAUAGUAACACCAAUCCUUGAUUACUUUUUGCAGGUUGCAUCACCACAAAGGAGCUCGGUACCGUGAUGCGUUCCCUCGGUCAAAACCCGACCGAAGCUGAGCUUCAGGACAUGAUCAACGAAGUGGAUGCAGAUGGUAAUGGUACCAUUGAUUUCCCUGAGUUCUUGAACCUAAUGGCUAGGAA
rnacentral:lncRNA from 1 species